rnacentral:rRNA from 1 species
GCUAAACGCGAAGAACCUUACCAGGCCUUGACAUGCAGAGAACUUUCCAGAGAUGGAUUGGUGCCUUCGGGAACUCUGACACAGGUGCUGCAUGGCUGUCGUCAGCUCGUGUCGUGAGAUGUUGGGUUAAGUCCCGCAACGAGCGCAACCCUUAUUGACAGUUGCCAAUAUUAAGUUAGGAACUCUGUCAAGACUGCCGUUGAUAAAACGGAGGAAGGUGGGGACGAUGUCAAGUCAUCAUGGCCUUUAUGUUCAGGGCUACACACGUGCUACAAUGGAUGGUACAAAACGUCGCAAUCCUGCAAAGGGGAGCUAAUCGCAAAAACCAUUCUCAGUUCGGAUCGGAGUCUGCAACUCGACUCCGUGAAGUUGGAAUCGCUAGUAAUCGCAAAUCAGCAUGUUGCGGUGAAUACGUUCCCGGGUCUUGUACACACCG